UAGUGAGUUUGAUCCUGGCUCAGAACGAACGCUGGCGGCAUGCCUAACACAUGCAAGUCGAACGAAGCCUUCGGGCUUAGUGGCGCACGGGUGCGUAACGCGUGGGAAUCUGCCCUUGGGUUCGGAAUAACAGUUAGAAAUGACUGCUAAUACCGGAUGAUGUCUUCGGACCAAAGAUUUAUCGCCCAGGGAUGAGCCCGCGUAGGAUUAGCUUGUUGGUGAGGUAAAGGCUCACCAAGGCGACGAUCCUUAGCUGGUCUGAGAGGAUGAUCAGCCACACUGGGACUGAGA
rnacentral:rRNA from 1 species